GCACAAUCAAAAGCAAGCUUGAUACCCAAUAACCCCACGCCGGACUCUCCCACAGAGAAGAGUUUAGCCCCAAGCCCCGGAGGCCCGGCAGGCCGCCUCCAGAGGAGCCCCCGCAGACGCCAUACUAAAAGUCAAAAUGGCUGCCCCAAGGAAGCCCGCACCGCGCAGCUAGUAAGGGUUGGGGAACAAGCUUCUGCGGGAAAGGGGGAGGGGGACUCUCGGAAGAGCCGUCGCCAGAACAGUAGGCAGGACUAUCGCCCCCCGAGCUGCACAGGUUCUAAUUACAGCCACCCCUUGACAUAACUUUUGAACUAUCUGGAAAAAUACCGCCCAGGGGGGAAAAAAAUGAUAAAAUUUUUUCUCAUGGUGAAUAAACAAGGACAGACCCGACUUUCUAAAUACUAUGAACAUGUGGAGAUCAAUAAGCGUACACUUCUGGAAACGGAAGUCAUAAAGAGCUGUCUCUCCCGAUCUAAUGAUCAAUGCUCUUUCAUUGAAUUUAAGGAUUUUAAGCUGAUAUAUCGACAGUAUGCAGCUCUAUUCAUUGUGGUUGGAGUUAACGACACUGAGAACGAGAUGGCCAUUUAUGAAUUCAUCCAUAAUUUUGUGGAAGUGUUAGAUGAGUACUUCAGCCGAGUGAGUGAACUAGAUGUAUCCUUUUUCAAAGCUGUGAGCCAGGUUUUCCUCAGUACUUGGCAAAGCACAGGCUAGUCCCAAUCAGCUAAGGUCUGUACCUUGCGUACAACUGUGAGCCUGGGAUGCAGAUUGGCCAGUCCACCUGGGGGAAGAGUUGAGCAACCGGUGGUAAACUGCAGGAAUGCUUUCCUUUCGUCUGAAGACAUGCCACACAAAACCCUCACGAACCUCAGGAAACCAGGGCUAGGAGGAGAAAAACAGAGUUCUACUGCUCUGACAGCGGAUUUAAAUGAAAUAUGCUACCACCACUUUGUAAGCAAGCAAUACGCCAAAAAACAAUUAUCAACAUGUGAGAAGAACAGUACUAUGUAGAGACUCUUGAGUAAGCAUGAAGAGAGUGGAUAUAAGCUACUUUAAAUGCAAAGAUUGUCUUGUACUUAGAAAUGGUUAAGAACUGAAAUACUGAUGGAGUACAGGGAUCAAAUAUGCAACACGGCUAGCAAAUCAAAAAACUUAAAAAUGCACCUGCAUAAUUCACCCAAAUGUUGCUGAACUACCAAAGGGGAUCUGAAAUAAUCCAUCUUUGUUAAUAGUGAAAUAAACGAUUUCUACAUGCCACAACAGGGAUGAAUUUCAUAAUCAUAAUGUUAAAGAAGCCAGACCUUAAAAAAUAUAUACUGUAUGAUUUCAUUUUUUAAAGUUCAAAUGCAAGAAAAAUUGAUCAAUGGAAAUAGUGACUUAAUAUUAAAAAAGAAUAUAAUGGGCAAGGUAAUUCUUGAGUUGUUUCUUGUUCCAGGUACCAAUACAUAGGUGUUUUCCUUUGGUGAAAAAUUCUCCAGGCUGUACAUGCAAUUUGUGCACUUCUCUAAUACAAUUCAAUAAAAUGUUGACUUAAGAAAAAAAUGCCAUGGGGCGCCUGGGUGGCUCAGUGGGUUAAGCCGCUGCCUUCAGCUCAGGUCAUGAUCUCAGGGUCCUGGGAUCGAGUCCCGCAUCGGGCUCUCUGCUCAGCAGGGAGCCUGCUUCCUCCUCUCUCUCUGCCUGCCUCUCUGCCUACUUGUGUUCUCUCUCUGUCAAAUAAAUAAAUAAAUAAAAUCUUUAAAAAAAAAAAAAGAAAAGAAAAAAAUGCCAUGUAAAUGUUAGUUAAGGUUAAAGUAAUUCAUAAUGCAGUUGACCCCUGAACAACAAGGGAUUUGAACUGCACAGAUCCACUCUAUUGUAUUUAUUGGAAAAAAUUAUAUAACAGAGUAUUGCAAAUAUAUUUUCUCUAAUUCAUUAUUUU